AAUCAACGCUGGCGGCGUGCCUCAGACAUGCAAGUCGAACGCGAAAGUUUCCUUCGGGGAACAAGUAGAGUGGCGCACGGGUGAGUAACACGUAGGUAAUCUACCUUUGGAUGGGGAAUAACAACCGGAAACGGUUGCUAAUACCGCAUAAUGCAGCGGCACCUAAUGGUGACAGUUGUUAAAGCGGGGGAUCGAAAGACCUCGCGUCUGAAGAGGAGCCUGCGGCGGGUUAGCAGUUGGUAAGGUAAUGGCUUACCAAGGCUACGAUCCGUAACUGGCCUGAGAGGGCGGUCGGUCACACUGACACCGACAUACGGGUCAGACUCCUACGGGAGGCAGCAGUCGGGAAUUUUGGGCAAUGGGCGAAAGCCUGACCCAGCAACGCC
rnacentral:rRNA from 1 species